rnacentral:rRNA from 1 species
UACAGAGGGUGCGAGCGUUGUCCGGAAUCACUGGGCGUAAAGGGCGCGUAGGUGGCGAUCCAAGUCCAUGGUGAAAGCUCGAUGCUCAACAUCGAGUCGGCCACGGAUACUGGGUUGCUUGAGCACUGUAGGGGCAGAUGGAAUUCCGGGUGUAGCGGUGGAAAUGCGUAGAGAUCCGGAAGAACACCGGUGGCGAAGGCGGUCUGCUGGGCAGUUGCUGACACUGAGGCGCGACAGCGUGGGA